GAUGAACGCUGACAGAAUGCUUAACACAUGCAAGUCGACUCGAGUCUUCGGACUUGGGUGGCGCACGGGUGAGUAGCGCGUAAAGAACUUGCCUCUUAGACCGGGACAACAUUUGGAAACGGAUGCUAAUACCGGAUAUUAUGGCUUCUUCGCAUGGGGGAAUCAUGAAAGCUACAUGCGCUAAGAGAGAGCUUUGCGUCCCAUUAGCUCGUUGGUGAGGUAACGGCCCACCAAGGCAACGAUCGGUAGCCGGACUGAGAGGUUGAACGGCCACAUUGGGACUGAGACACGGCCCAG
rnacentral:rRNA from 1 species